AAAAAAAACCUACCCUGAACAAACCUGAUCCCAUCUGAUCUCAGGAGCUAAGCAGGGUCAAGUCUGGUUAGUACUUGGAUGGGAGACUACCUAGGAAGACCAGGUGUUGUAGGUG
rnacentral:rRNA from 1 species